rnacentral:misc_RNA from 1 species
GACAGUAUCAGGAACUUCGGUAACUGCAAUAUGCAAAACAAUUGGACGAGAAAGAAUCCAUAUGUUAUUAUUAGCAUUCACACAACAAACACCAACAGUUUCAAUUUUACAAUACAAGUCAUAUAGUGGAUAGGGAAUUCAAAAUUACAAAGCUGGAUAACCAAAUUAUCAAGAGUAUGAUAGGAAUUCUACAAUCUUUUAUCAAGCAAGUUUUGUAAAAGUGCAUUUCUAUUAGCAACCAUGAAAAAUGCAGUGACAUUCCAAGUGCUAUAGACAGUCUUCAAUUACCAAUCCACAGAAAUCAAAUUUAACAAUAGCAUGAUAAAUGCUGGAGAAGCUUCUUUUAUUUAUUUAGAAGGUGGUGGUGGUAGGGGUAAGGAGGAAUGUUAAACACUCUCAGCCAAGGACUGGAACUGGAUGUCUGACAAGGGAAAAGAAAACAAAGAGAGAACUGAACAGCGGAAAAAACAUCUUUGACCAAUAAGUGCAGUAAACACAGGACAAGAGUCCUGUCCAAUCCACCAAACCAAAUGCAACCUUGAGGUUUGUCACUAGAAUUUGCUUCCCUAUUCAUCAUUUAUUGCUUCAUUCAUCUCUCUUCUGGAGGAACCUUAUCCUAUAAC